rnacentral:rRNA from 1 species
GAUGAACGCUGGCGGCGUGCCUAAUACAUGCAAGUCGAGCGAACAGACGAGGAUCUUGCUCCUCUGACGUUAGCGGCGGACGGGUGAGUAACACGUGGAUAACCUACCUAUAAGACUGGGAUACCUUCGGGAAACCGGAGCUAAUACCGGGUAAUAUAUUGAACCGCAUGGUUCAAUAGUGAAAGACGGUUUUGCUGUCACUUAUAGAUGGAUCCGCGCCGCAUUAGCUAGUUGGUAAGGUAACGGCUUACCAAGGCAACGAUGCGUAGCCGACCUGAGAGGGUGAUCGGCCACACUGGAACUGAGACACGGUCCAGACUCCGACGGGAGGCAGCAGUAGGGAAUCUUCCGAAAUGGGCGAAAUCCUGACGGAGCAACGCCGCGUGAGUGAUGAAGGUCUUCGGAUCGUAAAACUCUGUUAUUAGGGAAGAACAAAUGUGUAAGUAACUAUGCACGUCUUGACGGUACCUAAUCAGAAAGCCACGGCUAACUACGUG